rnacentral:tRNA from 1 species
GUUCAGGUAGUUUAAUUUAGAAUAAUAAUUUGUGGUGUUAUAGGUAUAUUUUAUAUUCUGGAUC